rnacentral:tRNA from 2 species
GGGCCCAUAGCUCAGCUAGGUAGAGUGCCGGGCUCCAGCUUUCAUCGGGUCUUACGACCCUAUAUAAGGGGAUGAGUUAAAGCUGGAGAGGAGAGACCCGGUGGUCCGGGGUUCAAGUCCCCGUGGGCCCA